rnacentral:rRNA from 1 species
GACAGAGGCCCCGAGCGUUAGGCGGAAUCACUGGGCUUAAAGCGUGUGUAGGCGGACCCCUAAGUGUCUUGUGAAAUCCCACGGCUCACCCGUGGAACCGCUGGGCAUACUGGGGGUCUUGGGCCGUUCAGGGGCGACUGGAACAAGCGGUGAAGCGGUGAAAUGCGUAGAUAUCGCUUGGAACGCCGAAGGUGAAAACAGGUCGCUGGGGACGCGCCGACGCUGAGACACGAAAGCCAGGGGAGCAAACGGG